rnacentral:rRNA from 1 species
AUUGAACGCUGGCGGCAUGCCUUACACAUGCAAGUCGAACGGCAGCACGGACUUCGGUCUGGUGGCGAGUGGCGAACGGGUGAGUAAUGUAUCGGAACGUACCUUUCAGUGGGGGAUGACGUAGCGAAAGUUACGCUAAUACCGCAUAUUCUGUGAGCAGGAAAGCAGGGGAUCGCAAGACCUUGCGCUGAUUGAGCGGCCGAUAUCAGAUUAGCUAGUUGGUGAGGUAAAGGCUCACCAAGGCGACGAUCUGUAGCGGGUCUGAGAGGAUGAUCCGCCACACUGGAACUGAGACACGGUCCAGACUCCUACGGGAGGCAGCAGUGGGGAAUUUUGGACAAUGGGGGCAACCCUGAUCCAGCCAUGCCGCGUGAGUGAAGAAGGCCUUCGGGUUGUAAAGCUCUUUCGGCCGGGAAGAAAUCGCAUGGGCUAAUACCCUGUGCGGAUGACGGUACCGGCAUAAGAAGCACCGGCUAACUACGUG